rnacentral:rRNA from 1 species
AGCAGCCGCGGUAAUUCCAGCUCCAAUAGCGUAUAUUAAAGUUGUUGCAGUUAAAAAGCUCGUAGUUGAAUUUCGGGGUUCAUACGUUGGUCGGGCUUUUGGGUCUGUACUGGCGUAAUGGAUUCCUACCUUCUGAAUAACCGGCAUGCCAUUAACUUGGUGCGCCGGGGAAGCAGGACUGUUACCUUGAAAAAUUAGAGUGCUUAAAGCAGGCUAUCGCCUGAAUACAUUAGCAUGGAAUAAUGAAAUAGGACGGCAUGGUUCUAUUUUAUUGGUUUCUAGGAUCACCGUAAUGAUUAAUAGGGAUAGUUGGGGGCAUUAGUAUUCAAUUGUCAGAGGUGAAAUUCUUGGAUUUAUUGAAGACUAACUUCUGCGAAAGCAUUUGCCAAGGAUGUUUUCAUUAAUCAAGAACGAAAGUUAGGGGAUCGAAGACGAUCAGAUACCGUCGUAGUCUUAACCAUAAACUAUGCCGACUAGGGAUCGGACGAUGUUAAUUUUU